rnacentral:rRNA from 1 species
UACGUAGGGGGGCUAGCGUUGUCCGGAAUCAUUGGGCGUAAAGAGCGUGUAGGCGGCCCGGUAAGUCCGCUGUAAAAGUCAAAGGCUCAACCUUUGAAUGUCAGUGGAUACUGCCGGGCUAGAGUCCGGAAGAGGCGAGUGGAACUCCUGGUGUAGCGGUGGAAUGCGCAGAUAUCAGGAAGAACACCAACGGCGAAGGCAGUGUUCUGGGCCAGUACUGACGCUGAGGAGCGAAAGCGUGGGGAGCAAACAGG